GGCGAACGCUGGCGGCGUGCCUAAUACAUGCCAGUUGAGCGCUGAAGGUUGGUACUUGUACCAACUGGAUGAGCAGCGAACGGGUGAGUAACGCGUGGGGAAUCUGCCUUUGAGCGGGGGACAACAUUUGGAAACGAAUGCUAAUACCGCAUAAAAACUUUAAACACAAGUUUUAAGUUUGAAAGAUGCAAUUGCAUCACUCAAAGAUGAUCCCGCGUUGUAUUAGCUAGUUGGUGAGGUAAAGGCUCACCAAGGCGAUGAUACAUAGCCGACCUGAGAGGGUGAUCGGCCACAUUGGGACUGAGACACGGCCCAAACUCCUACGGGAGGCAGCAGUAGGGAAUCUUCGGCAAUGGACGAAAGUCUGACCGAGCAACGCCGCGUGAGUGAAGAAGGUUUUCGGAUCGUAAAACUCUGUUGGUAGAGAAGAACGUUGGUGAGAGUGGAAAGCUCAUCAAGUGACGGUAACUACCCAGAAAGGGACGGCUAACUACGUG
rnacentral:rRNA from 1 species